rnacentral:rRNA from 1 species
CGCGGUAAUACGUAGUGCCAAGCGUGUCCCGAAUUUACUGGCCGUAAAGAUGUGUAGGCGGACAUUAAUGUGAAGACCGUGAAGCCCCCCGAGUCUCAACUUGGGGAACUCCCAUUUCAAACCUGGGUGUCCUAGAUGUGCAAGGAGAGGAAAGCGGAAUUCCUAGUGUAGCGGUGAAUUGCGAAGAGAUUAGAAAGAACCUUCAGUGGCGAAGGCGGCCUUCUGGACUUUAACUGACGCUGAGGCAUGAAAGCGUGGGGACCAACCAGGAUUAGAUACCCUGGUAGUCCACGCCGUAAACGAUGAGUACUAGGUGUAGGAGGUAUCGACUCCUUCUGUGCCGCAGUUAACACAAUAAGUACUCCGCCUGGGAAGUACGGUCGCAAGAUUAAAACUCAAAGGAAUUGACGGGGGCCCGCACAAGCAGCGGAGCAUGUGGUUUAAUUCGAAGCAACGCGAAGAACCUUACCUAGACUUGACAUCUCCUGAAUAGCGUAGAGAUACGUGAAGCCCUUCGGGGCAGGAAGACAGGUGGUGCAUGGUUGUCGUCAGCUCGUGUCGUGAGAUGUUGGGUUAAGUCCCGCAACGAGCGCAACCCUUAUCAUUAGUUGCUACCAUUAAGUUGAGCACUCUAGUGAGACUGCCCGGGUUAACCGGGAGGAAGGCGGGGAUGACGUCAAAUCAUCAUGCCCCUUAUGUCUAGGGCUACACACGUGCUACAAUGGUGAGAACAACGAGAUGCAAUACCGCGAGGUGGAGCCAAACUUGAAAACUCAUCCCAGUUCGGAUUGUAGGCUGAAAUUCGCCUACAUGAAGUUGGAGUUGCUAGUAAUCGCGAAUCAGAAUGUCGCGGUGAAUACGUUCCCGGGCCUUGUACACACCGCCCGUCACACCAUGAGAGCUGGUAACACCCGAAGU